ensembl:lncRNA
CGCAUGCCACCUAAAACAUACCUGUUUGGGUGUGUAUUUACACAGAAUUUAUGGAAAAUAAAUAUUUAGGACGUGUUUUGGUUUGGGUAUUUGUCAGCCAGUUAUGACCAUUUCUGCCUUGGACUAGAUGUCAUUUAAGUAAUUUAAUAAUUGAAACCCUUUUUUUUUUGUUAAUUUUAAUUAUUCUUUUGCACCACUAUAUCCUGAGUGCCAGUCUGUUUUUGCCCGCAGGCCAACUCCUUACAGCCUGGUAGAUCAAACGCCAUCUUGCCAACUCGUGUUUGUUCGCAACAUUUAGGAUUUCAAAUUGUGUUGUCCGCAAGAUCACAGCUGUCCUCAAACAAAUACCUGGCUAUGCUAAUCUUGUCCAACACUCUGGGUGUCUCCAAACUUUUCUGUUUAGCUGUGUAUUGAUCAGUCUGCUGACUAUGAGGCUACUGUUAUCACCCAGAUUGAAACAGCUUUAAAACGACCUCAACGAUCAAGGUCUCUGGCACCCGUAACGGCGCCACGUCCAUGGGCCGAACUGAGACCGGCUAUCCGGCGGUUCGCGGCGCUCGCUGGAGCAGUGGGUUUGACGCGCGGGCGAUGCACGCGGGGGACCGUGCCCAAGUCCGACUCCGCGUGGGCGCCUACGUGCCAGACGGCCUCGACGUGUAAAUCCAUCUGGCUCCCAGAAAGUGAAAGGAACGCAGGAAGGCCGGACCGAAGGAGCGGAACAACAAGGACGCUGUGAAGCAGGCAGCGAGGUCAUUCUGAAACUCAACUGGAAGACAGAGGGAGGGAAAACAAAAGAGAAUCACUACGAUGUCCAAGCUUGUUUGAGAGUUACAUCGUGUUUCUGCUCCAUGUAGAAGGCCAUGUUUCUCUGGAGACCCCGGGGGAGUUUUACUAUAUUCAUAUAGAAUCCGCGCGGCUCGUCUGUGAGGCACAGGGUCUGCGUGGGCUGAGAUUCCACUCACCCAACAACAUGACCUAACAUCAUCGCCGCUCCAUCACUCAUCCCUUACCUUCUCGUUAGCCCGCCCUUCUCCUGACCCUCCAGCUCACCUCUCACAGUUCCUCCUCCAUCCAACUUCUCCGUCUUAUCCAUGCCCCCCCCCUCCACUCGGCUCACUUAUCUCGUCCACUUUCUCGCUCCCUCCUCCUCUCUCUCUCCUUGCCCUUUUCCCUUCUCUAUCGGCAUUUCUCUGCCUCUCUCUCCGUCUCCCGGUGUUGUGACUGAAUAACAGACAGUGAGUCAGAGCGUCAGGCCCUGGGUCUGCAUUCCAAAUGACACCCUAUAACCCAUGUAAGUGCACUUACUUUCACCAAACCCUACCAGGCCCCGGUCUAAAGGCGUGCACCAUGUAGGGGAUAGGGUGCCAGUUGGGGAUGCCGCCGAGGACGCCCGGCUCCGUGGCGCAGACGUGCCCACAGGGCGCCGGCAGACAUGCCCACAGGGCGCCGGCAGACAUGCCCACAGGGCGCCGGCAGACAUGCCCACAGGGCGCCGGCAGACAUGCCCACAGGGCGCCGGCAGACAUGGCCACAGGGCGCCGGCAGACAUGGCCACAGGGCGCCGGCAGACAUGGCCACAGGGCGCCGGCAGACAUGCCCACAGGGCGCCGGCAGACAUGGCCACAGGGCGCCGGCAGACAUGGCCACAGGGCGCCGGCAGACAUGCCCACAGGGCGCCGGCAGACAUG